UACGGGGGGGGCAAGCGUUGUUCGGAAUUACUGGGCGUAAAGGGCUCGUAGGCGGCCAACUAAGUCAGACGUGAAAUCCCCAGGCUCAACCUGGGAACUGCGUCUGAUACUGGAUGGCUUGAAUCCGGGAGAGGGAUGCAGAAUCCCAGGUGUAGCGGUGAAAUGCGUAGAUAUCUGGAGGAAUACCGGUGGCGAAGGCGGCAUCCUGGACCGGCAUUGACGCUGAGGAGCGAAAGCCAGGGGAGCAAACGGG
rnacentral:rRNA from 1 species